ACAGGGACCAAUUUUGUAGUUUUGUGUCACACCCCGACCGAUGGCGGAAUCAACAGGGUUGCGACAUGAAACGUUGGUUUAUAGUUAACAACAUACAUCGAAUAUUACAGGGUUCAAAUAACAUUACAUUGUUCCAAAGUAUGAAAAGAAGAAAUACAUUGUUUAAUAAAUCCCAAACGAAGACCAAUACAUAUUGAAAGUUCUAUAAAGCAUAUAUCAAGAGGACCGGUUAUUCGGUCAAUAGUUUAUUUAAGGAGAAAUAUUCUCCUUACCCUGUAGGCAUUCCUCCAGCUUUUAAGUUCCUGAAGAUACAUACGUUUUAAAAAUACGUCAACAAAAAUGUUGGUGAGUUUUAUAGGUUUAGACACCAAGGGUUUAUAAUCAAAAAUACAUUUGUGACCUUUUAAGAUUAUAAGUAUGUAUUUAGUCCGCACUUGUAAUCUCAUACAAGUAAAAUAGUUUGGUUCAUUGUUCAUAACAAAGAAAUCAUGAGUCGUGAGUAUCGAGUUGAAAAUAUUAUAAAUACGAAUUAUAUAUAAUAAUGUUUUCAACAUGUAUCCCUUUUUUUCAAAAGUUUCUUUUUAACGAUAAAACUUCUAGAUUAAAAUUUAUGGGUUCUAGUAUGAGCCUAUAACCGAACUAUGGACGCGCAAUCCUCUGUAAAGCAGUACGGUGAGCAGAUGUAUUGUGACCAUCAUGACGCUUCAUCGACGUCGUGAAAUAUAUAAGUGAUUGAACGAUUACGCCCGUUUUGACUCGUUAGACGAUGGUUGUAGCUAGCAACUGUAGGCUGAGCUGUCAACCCAUAUAGAUCUAUACCAAUGUUCCACGUUCCUUUCGGAUUAACGGUUAUAACACAGAGGGUUUUGUACUAACUUUUUGAAUUCUUAGCGAUGAAGUGUUUCUCAUACAGAAUAUCCUUAAAUUGUUAAGUCUAUGAUUUUUGUCGUCAUUUGCAUUCCAAGCCUUAAAAACACUUGUAUUUCUUUGUCGUCACAUUCUAAUAUAUGUAGUUGUACAUACAAUAUUAUACUUAUACUUUUAUGAGUAUGUAAAUAUGUAUGUAUAUAUUAUUGAAGGCAUAAAAAUAUUACUUCUAUCAUGUGUUUCUUUCAAGUGCUAAUAAUCUUUUUAUAAGUUUUCUUUUUAUAUAAAAUAACUUAUUUUAUAUAAACAAUCAUAUUCUAUAAAACUACUCAUUUUUAUAAAAUAUUACAAGAUCUCCUUAUAAGCUCCAUUUUUAUAUAAAAUGUCAUUUUUAUAUAAAAAUUAUCAUAUUUUAUAAAAACUACUUAUUUUUAUAAAAUGUUAUGAGACCAUUUUUAUCAAUUCCCUUUUAUAUGAAAUAUCAAUUUUAUAUAAAAGUAAUUAUAUACAACUCAUUAUUUUCAAAUAUACAUAACAUUAAUCUAGUUAAAUCCUUAUGUAUAUGUAAAUUUAGUUAUAUCUUAUUAUAUUUACAUUUUUGAUAUUGCUAGUAAUUAUAUUAACAAAUUAGGUGCUAAUUCCAUAUUUUUCUUGUAUUAUCCUACUAGAGACCAUUAUAAGACUAAUGUUUAGCUUUAAAUAUACUAUGUAUAGACUUGUGGCACAAGGAUAAUGCUCAAGAACAUAUAUUUAUAUCUACGAAUAAUAACUUUAUACGAAUGUUUUAUUACUUCAUAAUAUAAUAUGAAAAUUAGUUUUAUAAUACACGUAACAAUUUCACAUAUUCAUUUGCAGGUUAAUUCAAAAUAACUAAAGUGUUGUAUGCUAACCCAUUAUAAAUAAAGUUAAGUAUGUAUCAUGUAAUGAUAAUAAAAUUUCAAGUUUAGCAUGCAAGAGAUUAGACCUGACAAUUUCAGACACGAAGACAUGAAUCUGUGAGAGACACGACACGACACGAAUCCAUUUUAAAAAUUGAGAUAAAGCUUAUUUCUCAUCGUGUAAUAGUAUAGUGUCAAAUUCAUGGCUGACACGAAUACACGAAUUGUCAGGUCUUCAAGAGAUGUAUGUAUCUCCCCCCAAAUUUUUAUAAAACUUAAAGAAAUUGGGGCCAUAAAGACUCACUUUCGUUGCGUGUUUUGUUUCAUUUUUUAGGAGUGUUUCGUAGUGAAAUACUGAAAUGCAAGGGAUGAUCCGGGGCUGUUUUGGUGACCUUUUAACGUGGGAAUUCUUCCUAUUUUUCAGCUUGUUGAAGGAGGAAGAAACCGAAAAUCAGCAAGGCUGUUUACCGGUGGUAGUGGGUGGCGAUAGGGUUGUUUUCCGGCAGCCUCUCGUUGCUUUAUGCUGGUUGUCGCGACAUGUAACAAGCAAGGAGGGCAGCAGCGGUUUUGGCGGCGUCCAAAGAUGUUUUUGGGUUGUUUGGUUGCUGGAACAGGAAGGUGUAAUACAAAGGUGUUGCACUCUUUUCUUUUUUGCUGGAAUAUUCGGAUGUGUGCCUUCAAAUGGGUGUUCUUUGGGGUGAUCACAAAUCAAAAAAAAAAAAAAAAAGGCAAAGGAAUGAGAUGUUUACGUGGGUUAUGGUUACACAAAUGAGGAAAAGUAUUGGGAUUAUAUAGGCUUUUGGAUUCCAUCAACUUGAUCUAUUGUGUGAGGGUGUGGUUGCAUAAUUGAGGUCAUAUGCACAUACUCAAUAGAAAAUGAAAAAAAGCAGGGGAACUAUUUUUCAUGAUGAUCAUGGCAUUUAAGGACACAAUGUACACAACCUUUAAUGGUGAUUUAAGAUGUGAGCAUUGCUUGGAUUUGACAAUGCAUCUAUGUACACUCUUAAAUGAUAGCAAU
rnacentral:lncRNA from 1 species